CCUACGGGAGGCAGCAGUGGGGAAUUUUGGACAAUGGGGGCAACCCUGAUCCAGCCAUUCCGCGUGAGUGAAGAAGGCCUUCGGGUUGUAAAGCUCUUUCGCAAGGGAAGAAACGAUACAAGCGAAUAACUUGUGUUAAUGACGGUACCUUGAUAAGAAGCACCGGCUAACUACGUGCCAGCAGCCGCGGUAAUACGUAGGGUGCAAGCGUUAAUCGGAAUUACUGGGCGUAAAGCGUGCGCAGGCGGUUUUGUAAGUCAGAUGUGAAAUCCCCGAGCUCAACUUGGGAACUGCGUUUGAAACUACAAGGCUAGAAUAUGUCAGAGGGGGGUAGAAUUCCACGUGUAGCAGUGAAAUGCGUAGAGAUGUGGAGGAAUACCAAUGGCGAAGGCAGCCCCCUGGGAUAAUAUUGACGCUCAUGCACGAAAGCGUGGGGAGCAAACAGGAUUAGAUACCCUGGUAGUCCACGCCCUAAACGAUGUCUACUAGUUGUUGGUGGAGUAAAUCCAUGAGUAACGCAGCUAACGCGUGAAGUAGACCGCCGNGGGAGGUACGGUCGCGAGAGUAAACUACGAAGAAGUAGACGCGUGAGACGUGACGACGACGACGACGAGGGAGGAGG
rnacentral:rRNA from 1 species